UACGUAGGGUGCAAGCGUUGUCCGGAAUUAUUGGGCGUAAAGAGCUCGUAGGCGGUUUGUCGCGUCUGCUGUGAAAACGCGGGGCUCAACUCCGCGCCUGCAGUGGGUACGGGCAGACUAGAGUGCAGUAGGGGGAGACUGGAAUUCCUGGUGUAGCGGUGGAAUGCGCAGAGAUCAGGAGGAACACCCGUAGCGAAGGCGGCACUCUGGGCCGAUACUGACACUGAGGAGCGAAAGCGUGGGGAGCGAACAGG
rnacentral:rRNA from 1 species